rnacentral:rRNA from 1 species
UACCAGCACCCCGAGUGGUCGGGACGUUUAUUGGGCCUAAAGCAUCCGUAGCCGGUUCUACAAGUCUUCCGUUAAAUCCAACUGCUUAACAGGUGGGCUGCGGAAGAUACUAUAGAGCUAGGAGGCGGGAGAGGCAAGCGGUACUCGAUGGGUAGGGGUAAAAUCCGUUGAUCCAUUGAAGACCACCAGUGGCGAAGGCGGCUUGCCAGAACGCGCUCGACGGUGAGGGAUGAAAGCUGGGGAGGACAAACCGG